rnacentral:rRNA from 1 species
GACGAACGCUGGCGGCGUGCCUAAUACAUGCAAGUUGAGCGCUGAAGGUUGGUACUUGUACCAACUGGAUGAGCAGCGAACGGGUGAGUAACGCGUGGGGAAUCUGCCUUUGAGCGGGGGACAACAUUUGGAAACGAAUGCUAAUACCGCAUAACAACUUUAAACACAAGUUUUAAGUUUGAAAGAUGCAAUUGCAUCACUCAAAGAUGAUCCCGCGUUGUAUUAGCUAGUUGGUGAGGUAAAGGCUCACCAAGGCGAUGAUACCUAGCCGACCUGAGAGGGUGAUCGGCCACAUUGGGACUGAGACACGGCCCAAACUACUACGGGAGGCAGCAGUAGGGAAUCUUCGGCAAUGGACGAAAGUCUGACCGAGCAACGCCGCGUGAGUGAAGAAGGUUUUCGGAUCGGAAAACUCUGUUGGUAGAGAAGAACGUUGGUGAGAGUGGAAAGCUCAUCAAGUGACGGUAACUACCCAGAAAGGGACGGCUAACUACGUG